AACGAACGCUGGCGGCAGGCUUAACACAUGCAAGUCGAACGCAUCCUUCGGGGUGAGUGGCAGACGGGUGAGUAACGCGUGGGAACGUGCCCUUCAGUUCGGGAUAACCCAGGGAAACUUGGGCUAAUACCGGAUACGUGCGAGAGCAGAAAGAUUUAUCGCUGAAGGAUCGGCCCGCGUCGGAUUAGCUAGUUGGUGGGGUAAGGGCCCACCAAGGCGACGAUCAGUAGCUGGUCUGAGAGGACGAUCAGCCACAUUGGGACUGAGACACGGCCCAAACUCCUACGGGAGGCAGCAGUGGGGAAUAUUGGACAAUGGGCGCAAGCCUGAUCCAGCCAUGCCGCGUGAGUGAUGAAGGCCUUAGGGUUGUAAAGCUCUUUCGUCCGGGACGAUAAUGACGGUACCGGAAGAAGAAGCCCCGGCUAACUUCGUGCCAGCCGCCGCGGUAA
rnacentral:rRNA from 1 species